GUGAAGAAAGGAAAUGGUAUAGAAGACUUGGAGAGAGAUUUAGAACAGUUGCAGUGGGAAGCAAUAUGAUCAAUUAGGAAGGAGUAGAAAUAUUGCUUGGGAUUAUCAGGGCUUAAUGAGUAUUAAAUUAUACUCUCAUUUGAGAGGGUGGGGAUAGAGGCAGCUAGUUUGUGGAGUGGAUAGAGCAUCAAGCCUAGAAGAGGAAGACGAGCUCAAAUCCAACCCUAGAUACUUACUAGCUAUGUGAUUCUGGGCAAGUCACUUAACUCUGCCUCAGUUUCCACAUCUGUAAAAGAAAAAAUGAGCUGGAAAAAGAAAUGGCAAACUAUUCUAGUAUCUUUGCUAAGAAAACAAAUGGAGUCACAAUCAAACAUGACUAAAUAAACAAAAUUCCCAGGGUUAGAGGUAUCACAAAAUGAUUCAAAUGCUACCUCUGGAGAGGCUAACACUAAGUGACCCCCUACCAAGAGUAUAGCUUCUCUUAUUUUUCACAUUUUUUUCUCCAUAUUGGCCAUAUUGGUACUGAAGCAAACAAAUAUCUUUGGACUAGAUAUCUGAACACUUCUUCAGUGACAGCUGAAAACUCAACAAAAGAAAGGGACUGUGGGGGAGAGAAGGUCUUCUUUCUGUUUUCAAUUUCUCAUCAAAUUAGAGAAGAAUUACAUUCCACCAACAGAAAUGAGGUUGUCAAAAUAAACACUGAAUAAAAUAAAAUGCUUAAAAUCAUCCCUUAAUUGAUGAGACCUAAGCCAAAACUAUAUAUAUAUAUAAUGUAGGAGUCUAGGAGGAUUUGUCAAUAUGCAAAUGAUUAUAUUAUUCUCAUGUUUUC
rnacentral:lncRNA from 1 species